rnacentral:rRNA from 1 species
AGAGAGUGCAAGCGUUAAUCGGAAUUACUGGGCGUAAAGCGCGCGUAGGUGGGAUGUUUAAGUCGAAUGUGAAAGCCCCAGGGCUUAACCUGGGAACUGCAUCCGAUACUGGGCAUCUAGAGUAUGGUAGAGGGAAGUGGAAUUUCAGGUGUAGCGGUGAAAUGCGUAGAUAUCUGAAGGAACACCAGUGGCGAAGGCGGCUUCCUGGACCAAUACUGACACUGAGGUGCGAAAGCGUGGGGAGCAAACAGGAUUAGAGACCCUGGUAGUCCACGCCGUCAACGAUGAGAACUAGCUGUUGGGGGGGUUGCCCUUUAGUAGCGAAGCUAACGCGUUAAGUUCUCCGCCUGGGGAGUACGGCCGCAAGGCUA